rnacentral:lncRNA from 1 species
AACCACUUGUGAUUUUGUGAAUGAGUAUUCUUCUCAACUAGAAGAUCCGGCCUUUCUAGAUAUUUGCAGAUCAUCAGCAAAUAAAAUGAUACCUUAAAAGGGAUGUUACAGGUUAAAAUUGGCAUUUUAUACUCUUUAUUAAAAGCACUGAUUACAGUUAUAUUUUCAAAAUAGAUAUUUUACAAAUAUUAAUGAUUGAUACUAGUAAUGCCCUUUCUGUAAUAGCCUCCCAAGUAAACCAUAGUUCUGUUCUCUAGCCAUUUCGAAUUGCAGUAUUCUUUUUUUUAAGGACACAUUUAGUUUUGUACAUUUCAGCUUCAUAUUGUACUGGUUGUCAAUGAAAUUUUAUUUAUACUCUUAUAAAACCUUAUAAAAUCUUAUAAAAUUAACUCUUAUAAAGAAAAAUAUUUUAGAAUUUAAAUUAUAUCCCAUAUUGAUUAUUUAAUUAUUUUAUAACGAAUAAUGAUUAAUUGGGCAUGUACAAUUAUUGUGUAUGUUGUACUGUUCAUAGUACAAUAUCUGAUUUUGGCUUGACCAUACCAGAUAUGCUGGUUGAUUUUACUCGGACUGACCUAUCUAAUUUUUGUGUCUCUUUUUAUCUAAUGUAAAUAUUAGUUUUCUUGGAAGAUAGCAAGAAGUUGCUGGUCUAGGCAAAAUCGAAAUUGAUUGUCAUAGUGACACAUAUUUUCAUUGCCAACUUCCUUGGGCCACAAAUUUUGUUAUUUAUUUUUUAUAAAAGGUUUUAUGGUACUUAUAAAAAAAGUUAAGUUAUUUUGUUAUAUAUUUCGAUUGGCAAUACACUUUGUGCGUGAUUGCUUAAAUACGGGUUUGACCUCUGCGGUCCUUCCUUUUCCCAGACCGCCGUCAUGAAGUGAAGAGUGCUUUAGUUCUUUUUGAAAUUCGUGUGAAUUUUACCCAUAUGGGGAUAUAAUUGACUAAAUGUGGUGAUAGUAAAUCAACUUUUUGGGCGUAAUGCUAUAAUUUGUUGUUUUGUUGAAUUUACUGGCCUUUAUGGCGAUUUAAAACCUAAUAAUUUUUCACGUGCCCUCGAACAUCGGCAAAAUAGCGGUUCUGAUUGGCAUUGGCAGGGGACAAUUUAAUUAGCAAAGCUACAUAACAUGGAUUUUGAAUGGAUUUUUUUUGUACGGACCUGAUUUCUUCAUGCCACAUGGUGCUUUCGUUUUGGGGUUAUGUACUCUACUGGCUCUAAUCUAGAAGGAGAUUUUAAGCAACUGUGAGCUAACAUCUAACCUAGACCACUACCAGAGCUUGUGAAGUGGAAGAGGUGAAGCUUGGAAGCCUGCAUUUUUUUCUUUGACUGGGAUUUGGAUGUCUGGGAGAGUCUCGAAUCUGAAGUAGUCUGCUGUGUGUGGAGCUAGGUGACACAACAUAACAUUUUUUUAUUCACUUAUUUUAUUUUUAUUAUCACAACUUUUAUCUUUUGAGUUGAGAUACAUACAUAAGCUUAUUUAAAAUUUUAUUGACAUUAUUUAAUCGAUGUUAUUUUAUUAUUGAAUAUUACUGAUAAGAGUACAUAUAUAUGUGACAAGUGACUCCUGUGAGGUAAGACGCAGCCGGCUUCGUAGUACUACGAGUAUAUACUUGGGUUAUAUUAUUUAUUUUCAGACUACUCCUAAGAUGUCAAAUUUUCUCAGAUUGGCUAGUAAAUAUUAGAGUAAACUAAUAAAAGGGUAAUUUUAAGUGGGGAAGCUUCAACAGUUAGGGUUGUUAUUUUUUUUUUGCUUAGGUCAAUGUCCGUGGCGGGAUAUACCGGGCCAUGUAAGUUAUUAGUUUAAUUGAAUUGAAGCUUCAUUCCCCAAAA